UAUUUUUUUUUAAAAAAAUUUUCUCUCAAAAAUCGAAUUCUCACACAAAUUUUUUUUUUUCUCUCAUCGACAUUCUUUGUAGACAUUUUUUUUCUCUCCUUAUGCGGAGAAAUCGAAAUCCUAUGUGUCUGUGAUUUCGAAAUUGAAAUCGAAAUCAUGCAUGUGGAUUCGAACAGAGACAUGGUGUGGAAGCUCUUCAAAUUUUGUGGAAGCUCUUAAAAUCAAUCUGAAAUCUGUCUCAUGGAUACUUUGCUAUUUAAGAGAGGAUGAGAUAAAGGAAGACAAGAAGAAGAAGAGAGAGAGGAGAGGAAGAAGGAGCUGAAGAGAGAGACGAGCAAAGGAACGAAGCAGAUGCUGUUUUAUGUAAACUCAAUUUUGGUUUGGCAUAUCUUGUGAUGCCACCAAAUGGAAAGAAAAAAAAAGUUUUUUAAAACCUUGAACCCCUGAAAGAUUCAACUAUUGGAGAUGAAUUAUUUGCAAAACUAAAAUGAGGUUGUUAAUUUA